AAGACUGUAGCAUAAUCGGUAAUGCAAUUCGCUCAUAAUGGAUCUUAUUGAGGGUUCGAGUCCCUUCGGUCUUA